rnacentral:rRNA from 1 species
UAUUAGGUGGGGUAACGGCUCACCUAGGCGACAAUCCCUAUCUGGUCUGAGAGGAUGACCACCCACACUGGAACUGAGACACGGUCCACACUCCUACGGGAGGCACCAGUGGGGAAUAUUGCACAAUGGGCGCAAGCCUGAUGCACCCAUGCCGCGUGUAUGAAAAAAGCCUUCGGGUUGUAAAGUACUUUCACCGGGGAGGAAGGUGUUGUGGUUAAUAACCACAGCAAUUGACGUUACCCGCACAAAAAACACCGGCUAACUCCGUGCCACCACCCGCGGUAAUACGGAGGGUGCAAGCGUUAAUCGGAAUUACUGGGCGUAAAGCGCACGCACGCGGUCUGUCAAGUCGGAUGUGAAAUCCCCGGGCUCAACCUGGGAACUGCAUUCUAAACUGGCAGGCUGGAGUCUCGUAUAGGGAGGUAUAAUUCCAGGUGUAUCGGUGAAAUGCGUAUAGAUCUGGAGGAAUACCGGUGGCGAAGGCGGCCUCCUGGACGAAAACUGACGCUCACGUGCGAAAGCGUGUGGAGCA